GGAUUCCCCUAGUAACUGCGAGUGAAGCGGGAAAAGCUCAAAUUUAAAAUCUGGCAGUCUUUGGCUGUCCGAGUUGUAAUCUAGAGAAGUAUUAUCCGCGCUGGACCGUGUACAAGUCUCCUGGAACGGAGCGUCAUAGAGGGUGACAAUCCCGUCUUUGACACGGACUACCAGGGCUUUGUGAUGUGCUCUCAAAGAGUCGAGUUGUUUGGGAAUGCAGCUCUAAAUGGGUGGUAAAUUCCAUCUAAAGCUAAAUAUUGGCGAGAGACCGAUAGCGAACAAGUACCGUGAGGGAAAGAUGAAAAGAACUUUGGAAAGAGAGUUAAACAGUAUGUGAAAUUGCUGAAAGGGAAACGCUUGAAGUCAGUCGCGUUGGCCGGGGAUCAGCCUUGCUCUUUUGCUUGGUGCACUUCCUGGUUGAUGGGCCAGCAUCAGUUUUGAUUGGUGGAUAAAGGCUAGGGGAAUGUGGCAUCUUUGGAUGUGUUAUAGCCCUUGGUUGCAUACAUCAGUUGGGACUGAGGAACUCAGCAUGCCGCAAGGCCGGGUCUUUGACYACGUACAUGCUUAGGAUGCUGGCAUAAUGGCUUUAAUCGACCCGUCUUGAAACACGGACCAAGGAGUCUAACAUGCCCGCGAGUGUUUGGGUGGAAAACCCAUGCGCGUAAUGAAAGUAAAAGCCGAGAUCCCUGUCGUGGGGAGCAUCGGUGCCCGGCCCAGACCUUUUGUGACGGUGCCGCGGUAGAGCGUGUAUGUUGGGACCCGAAAGAUGGUGAACUAUGCCUGAAUAGGGUGAAGCCAGAGGAAACUCUGGUGGAGGCUCGUAGCGAUUCUGACGUGCAAAUCGAUCGUCGAAUUUGGGUAUAGGG
rnacentral:rRNA from 1 species